rnacentral:snRNA from 1 species
GUGCUCGCUUUGGCAGCACAUAUACUAAAAUUGGAAUGAUACAGAGAAGAUUAGCAUGGCCCCUACACAGGGAUGACACACAAAUUCAUGAAAUAUUCUCUUGAAUG